AUCGUAAGGACAUGUGGAGCGCUUAGAAGUGAGAAUGCCGGUGUGAGUAGCGAAAGACGGGUGAGAAUCCCGUCCACCGAUUGACUAAGGUUUCCAGAGGAAGGCUCGUCCGCUCUGGGUUAGUCGGGUCCUAAGCUGAGGCCGACAGGCGUAGGCGAUGGAUAACAGGUUGAUAUUCCUGUACCACCUAUAAUCGUUUUAAUCGAUGGGGGGACGCAGUAGGAUAGGCGAAGCGUGCGAUUGGAUUGCACGUCUAAGCAGUAAGGCUGAGUAUUAGGCAAAUCCGGUACUCGUUAAGGCUGAGCUGUGAUGGGGAGAAGACAUUGUGUCUUCGAGUCGUUGAUUUCACACUGCCGAGAAAAGCCUCUAGAUAGAAAAUAGGUGCCCGUACCGCAAACCGACACAGGUAGUCAAGAUGAGAAUUCUAAGGUGAGCGAGCGAACUCUCGUUAAGGAACUCGGCAAAAUGACCCCGUAACUUCGGGAGAAGGGGUGCUCUUUAGGGUUAACGCCCAGAAGAGCCGCAGUGAAUAGGCCCAAGCGACUGUUUAUCAAAAACACAGGUCUCUGCUAAACCGUAAGGUGAUGUAUAGGGGCUGACGCCUGCCCGGUGCUGGAAGGUUAAGAGGAGUGGUUAGCUUCUGCGAAGCUACGAAUCGAAGCCCCAGUAAACGGCGGCCGUAACUAUAACGGUCCUAAGGUAGCGAAAUUCCUUGUCGGGUAAGUUCCGACCCGCACGAAAGGCGUAACGAUUUGGGCACUGUCUCAACGAGAGACUCGGUGAAAUCAUAGUACCUGUGAAGAUGCAGGUUACCCGCGACAGGACGGAAAGACCCCGUGGAGCUUUACUGUAGCCUGAUAUUGAAAUUCGGCACAGCUUGUACAGGAUAGGUAGGAGCCUUUGAAACGUGAGCGCUAGCUUACGUGGAGGCGCUGGUGGGAUACUACCCUAGCUGUG
rnacentral:rRNA from 1 species